CGGACGGGUGAGUAAUGUCUGGGAAACUGCCUGAUGAGGGGGGAUAACUACUGGAAACGGUAGCUAAUACCGCAUAACGUCGCAAGACCAAAGAGGGGGACCUUCGGGCCUCUUGCCAUCGGAUGUGCCCAGAUGGGAUUAGCUAGUAGGUGGGGUAAAGGCUCACCUAGGCGACGAUCCCUAGCUGGUCUGAGAGGAUGACCAGCCACACUGGAACUGAGACACGGUCCAG
rnacentral:rRNA from 1 species